AAUGAACGCUGGCGGCGCGCCUAAUACAUGCAAGUCGAGCGAGAAGACGUAGCAAUACGUUUGUAAAGCGGCGAACGGGUGAGGAAUACAUGGGUAACCUACCCUCGAGUGGGGAAUAACUAGCCGAAAGGUUAGCUAAUACCGCGUACGCUUCUUGGACUUCGGUUCAGGGAGGAAAGCGAUGCCGAGGGUAUCGCGCUCUUGGAUGGGCUCAUGUCCUAUCAGCUUGNGGUGAGGUAACGGCUCACCAAGGCUUCGACGGGUAGCUGGUCUGAGAGGACGAUCAGCCACACUGGCACUGCGACACGGGCCAGACUCCUACGGGAGGCAGCAGUAAGGAUAUUGCGCAAUGGGCAAAGCCUGACGCAGCGACGCCGCGUGGGGGAU
rnacentral:rRNA from 1 species